AUUGACAGAUUAACUAGUAAACAAUUGUUUUGGCAUUUUAAAUACAUGGCUGGUUUGCCUCAUCAUUCAGUCUCCACUUAAAAACAAGAAAAUCCAAUAGCAAAUAAGAAUUAAAAUAGUGUACUCGUGUGUAAAGAUAGUUAAAAUUGAAAGGAUCUAUUUUGAAUAUGCAGGACAUUAAGCUGUAAAAAAAUCCAAGUCUUUCUUUUUGAAGUAUUUAAGCGCUGUAGGUGAAAGAUAAAUAUAAAUGUGAACAUUCACAAUAGAAACAAAAGUACCUUUAUAAAUAACUGUUCUCUCGUUCACACUGCUAAGAUCAAAAUUAAAACACAGCUCAUGGCUCACAGCAAACAUACGAGGGAGAUUUGAAGGUAGAAUGCUGGAAGUUUUGACACAAAGUCUUUGAGGUAUCUAAAGUAACUCUUAAAUUUGAAGCAUUUAGAAAGCCUUUCAUGCCUUCCUAGAACAAACUAGUUAAUGAGAAUGUUAAAAUAUUACAAAAGGCUUACAUGUGAAAAUGUUACUGAAAUGAGAUAAACAAUAACUCUAGAUGAGAAUAGCAAUCUGAAAUUAAGUGGAAGGAUCAAUAAACUAAAGAGAGCAGAUUGAGAACAUUGAGUAGCUGGAGAAAGAUGUCUCAUUCAGUAUAUGAAAGGGAAAAAGAAUAUGUUAGUGUUUAUUGUUCACUAAGGUCAGUGGAAAUAAUAAAACAAAGCUUACUAUUAAAAAGCUGUUUUUAAUUGAUUGUAGAGCACAUUAUAGUGCAGUCUUAUGAUCAAUGCAGUUGCCACCAUUUCCCUAGAUUUGAAUGCGUAGCUUUCUAAGAAUGGAUAAAGGUGAUGGUGUAGUUGGAACAAAAAGUUGCCGACUACUGACAACUCAUAGCUGUUUGACAACAAACCCUUGACCACAAAUGUUGUUAUGGCUGGAGGUAGUGGAACAUCAUGAUCUAGGGCACUACCUGCUCCUGCUCACUUGGGAGGUAAAAUGGAAAAUGAAAGGAGCUGGAAAAAAAAGCAUGGAUGAGCAGUUACAGACCAUGGAAUUUAAAUGAUGCAUGCGGCUCCCUACCAUUUCCCUGUGCAACUGCUCUUGCAGCAUGCUGGACCUGUGAUUGUAGAUCCUAGAGAGAUUAAAUUCUGGUAACUGCAGCUCCCACAAUGCACAGAAUCACACUGUGUCAAGGAUUGAAAGGGACCUCAAAGAUCAUCUAGUCCAAUCCCCCUGCCUUAGCAGGAAUGCCUUGAUUAGGUCACACAGGAACGCUUCCAGACAGGUUUUCAAUGUCUCCAGAAAAGGAGACCCCACAACCUUCUGGGCAGCCCAUUCCACUGCUCUGUCACCCUCACAGUAAAAAAGUUUUUUCUCAUGUUUUUGUGGAACCUCCUGUGUUCCAGCUUGCACCCAUUGCCCCUUGUACUAUCACUGCAUGUCACUGAGAAGAGCCUGGCUCCAUCCUCCUGAUGGAGGAUGGAGGAUCCUCCUUUACACGUUUAUAAAUGUUGUUGAGGUCACCCCUAAGUCUCCUCCAAACUGAAGAGGUCCAGCUCCCUCAGCCUCACCUCGUAAGGGAGAUGCUUCAGUCCGUUAAUCAUUUCUGUGGAUCAACAACAAGGCCAAGCAGCUGCUGAUGAAGGUAAUGAGUUGGUUUCAGUGCUGGAAAUUAAGUUUUAAGAAUUUUGGAGGAUGUUCUUACCCAGAGGUUUCAAAGGUAUUCCAGAGAAAGUAAAUGAGGUACUAUGAUAGUGGCACCCUCUCAAGGGUCCAUAAAAGCCUGAGGUCCGGGAACAGGUGAUUCACUGCCUGGCUGGGGUGAUGACUCUAAAGGGGCAGGGGAGCAGCCACCUGUGGGCAGACAGGCUCUGACUCAGUCAAAUGCUGCGUAAACAGCAAAGGGGGUAAAACUCUCAGUGUUCUAUUACAUUUAGCUGAAAGAGUCUGGGGAGUAGAAUCCGCUACUGAACUUUUUCCAUUCUGUCAGUACGUAGGGACAGGGUACACAGCCUUUUUCUAUCACGAUUGGGCAGCCUGCAUUCAAACACAAAAGGUUAUGUAAUUCAUUCAGUCACUGUGUAAAAGGGUAAUUCUUUGUAGCUAGGCUGUGCUUAGCUCACAGUGAGUCAUUUUUAGGAGGAGAGAUCAUACACAUUGUUAAAAAUAAGCUUUUGAAGACAGCAGUUCUUUCAUGCCAACUAUGUCCUGUUUAGAUCAGCGGAUUAAACAACCCAAGGCUGUAAGUAAAAGUUUCUCAGUGAAUCAAAAAAGAAAAGGGACAAGUUUCACUCCUAGGUUCUGAAAGGGAGUCAUAGGAUUGGCAUUACCUCUUAAAAAAUUAGGUUCUAAAAAUCUUUAAGCGUUUUUACAGAAAAAAAAAGAAGUUUUCAUUUUGCAUCUGAAUGACAGCAUUUGCUUUGUAACUCCCUAAAAAGAGAAUGUAGCAAACAAAAGGCAAAGAGGCAACAAUCAAAUAUGUGAAAUGACUCAUCUUCAAAUGAGAAAAGAAGCCAAUUUCUGAACAGCAUGGACUUAUGGAAAAUAAAAUGUUUGCCUUCAAUUUUUCAGGCCAUCCCGCCAUUAUCAUUCAGCAAUCAGAAGCUGCAACAUAGAGUGAGGUUGCUGUAACAUGGCUAUGAAAGCUCACAGUGCAACGGUUCUUUCCUCUGCUUGUGCUUGCUCUUUAUUUCUGUUACCUAGUAAAACUAAUUAUUCCACUCUCUAUAUGAUCCUUUACACAUUUUUUGUUAGCUAUGACCCUCAGUGCUACCUGUGACCACCUUAUCCAUCUUUGACAAAUUCACAUCUCUUAGAUCUGUCACUCUCUGAAUCACUUUUUUUCUAUUUACCUUUCUCAAACUGAUUUGCUUUCUGCCUGAGUUACUCUAUAUCUUGUUACUUACUUUCUUCUUUUGUUUCCUAGUGGAAAGAUUUUCUGUUUGUCUGAUUCACCCUUCUGUUUUCACUUCUCAUUCUUUCUCAUCGUCAUUAUUUUGUCAGUUUUUGUUUUCAUUCUGUGAUUUAUCUCCUAUCCUGACUGCACAGAGCAGCAUCUUUUUAGUUAAUUCAUUUCCUAUUGAUUCUUAAUCUUUCCUUCUCUUUCCUCUCCAUGACUCAGCUUCUGUUUCCCAUAGUUUAUGUUUUUAUUGUAUUCAAAGGUAUUUUUUGCUUAUUCAGCAUCAACUACUGAAACUUUCAAAGGGAGUGAAUACACAUAGAUGGCUCUGUGCUGAAUAGGAUGAUGUCAGCUACACAGCUUCUGAAAGCACAUUUCAUUCCACUGACUUGUCAAUAGUUAGAAACAACAGAACAAUUCAGUCUUUUAUAUCUGUAAGAUAUAGCUCCUGCAUUAGUCUGCUGCUAUUUAUUUCAAUUUUAUUCCCCUUAGAUCUUGCAAUUAUAUGGGAAAUUGAUGUAGCUGUUUAAAAGAAAUACAUUGCAUGAUUCUGCAAAAAUAAACCCCAACCCAUUUAAUGACAGCCAAUGAUCAUGGAAUCACCUCUUUAAAUUAAUUAGUAAGUCAACAGCAUUACAAUUUGCAAAGCAAUUAUAUUUACUUUCAGCUUUGUAGACAUCUUUCAAACUUGCAGAAAUGUGGAUUAUUUUCAAAGCAGCAUGUCAGCAUUGCAAGACUAUAACUACUAUAUGAAUGGAGCAUGCUACUGCUUUAAUCUCAGUUAUUGAAAAAGUUGCAGUACUGCAAGUAUCAUUUAACAAAUGAUAGAUGUCCUCUUUCUCUCUUCUACUCGACCUCUUUGAUCUUAGUAGAAUUUCUUUCAGCUCUAGUAUCCCAUCUUACAGCACACCUUCCCACACAGUUCAAUUUUCUGCAUACUACCAUGAUGUAUGACACUAUAAGAGAGAGAUGUGAAGGAUAUGUAUGUUUCGUGUUGAUUCACGAUUGAAUGUUUGAGUCUCAGUGGAAAAUUUAAAAAAGAUUCAGUUCCGGAAUUUCAAGAAAGAAUCGCAGCCAAUGGUUUGAUUUAUUAGGCAAUUGAAUGGAGCUUUCCAAUUCAAUUUCUCAUUUAAUACUUUUAUUAUAGUUUAUUCAUAGAUUAUUUCCUUUGGAGACAGUAUUAAAUCUUCUAGUCUGACUUUCAUUAUAGCACAGGCUAUUAAACUUUACAUAAAUACUUUUAUAGAGGCCAGUAACUCCUAAAGGAAAUCUGAAUCAUCUUCCAAGAGAUAUUCACUACUGAUUUUAUAACAUCAACAGUGAAAAACUCCAUCUCCUCUGACAAUUGUUCUUGUUGUUUGACAGACUCACUGUUAACAAAAUAGCAAAAUAGAUAUGUGCCCAAUUUUUUAUUUUGAAUAUUUGUUGUUUUCGCUUGUUCCCCCUGGGAAGCCUUUAAUGCUUAGUACAGCUUCCUUUUGAAUGUACUUAUACAUUCUUAUUAGGACACCUUCUAUUUGAUAAGUGAAAGUUAGACAUAGCUCUCAGGACUUACUUUAGUACUGGGUUAUUUCUGAUGAACAAUCUCCAACUUAAUUCUUAACCCAUGUUAACAAUCAUGUUGGAAGUCUUUGUCAGAUAUUCUGUGUAUUUACUCAGUGGCUCGAUACAUAAGGAGUUAUGUAUAUAUACUUCACAUUCUUUGUGUUGCUAUAAUUUCUUUUUGCAUCCAGGCACAAACAUAAGUGUAGCAGUGGCUAGAAUGUUCCUGAGACUAACUGACCAAAGGAAAAAUUCCAACCUUCAUCCUAUGUAGGCACCAACAAUCUGAUUGACAGAAUAACACCACAGAAGAAGAAAGUCAAGGCCAUUGAUGCAGUGAUGCAACAAUGAUGUCUGGUACAGUGAAAUAUUUUCUUCAAACUUGAAGUCACUUUUGUGCUUCUUCUCCCCUUUUCUUUCAACUGUCUUACAAAGUGUUGAAACCACAACUGCACACACCAGGAAUUUUGUGUAGAGAGGGAGAAUUGCCUCCAUAUUCCCUCUAUAUAGCUCUCGAUUUUAAACACCAUAAAAACUUUUUAUAGCAGAUAAAACAAGGAAGUAAUAUGCCUUCCCUACUAAAACCUGCCAUUGUUUUCCAGGAUCCAGAUUCUGUCCUGUUAAUUAAAGUCUACCAUCUUAUUCCUCAUCCUUGUCCUUCUGACAGUUUGUGUGUUUUGAUGAGCUCGGCAUCCUCCCUUGCAAUCCGGAAUACUGUGUUUAGUUGAUUAGAGUUUGUUUGUUUGAUUGAUUGACGCUUGCAUUCAUUGCCUCUUCGGACCACUCACAAAGGUUAACACCACUGAUUUUUUAAUUUUUUAUUUUAUUUUUAUUUAUUUCUACUAAUAGACUUAAUGAAGAACACAGAGCUGAUGAAAAUGAAGUUAAGAACUAUGACUACUCUCUAGAGACAUUUCCUAAAAAUGCUAUCAUCAGUAAUAACUCCUUGCUGAUAAGUACUUUUGAGACCUGUAAGACAGUUCUUAAUCCAUUUAAGGAUGUACUUUACUGAUACUGCAAAUCCUUAUACUUUUAUCAACAUGUCAUGUAUAGCAAAUCAAAUGCUUUGCAGAAAUAACCUACAUAUUGCCUUCAACAAUAACUGUAAUAAAUAAAAAAAUAAAGCCUGUUUUUCAUAAAAAUUUUACUAAGCUUAAUUAUAAAUGAUAUUAAUAUUGUUUAUUAAUUAUAAAUCUUCCAUUUUAUAUUUUAUCAAAAGAACUUUUAUAAUUUGUCCACCAUUUUGCCAAGAACUGGUGUUACCUAGCACAUCUCUUUUGACCUGCUCAUCCCUCUUGACUUCUUGGAUAUUCACAAAAUACCAGUAUGAUUUUUAUCUUCAAAAUUAUCCAUAUGCAAAGAGGAAUCCUGACAUUUGAAGGAGACAGUCCUAAAAGUCACUGAUUUUAGGACUCUGGGGUGUGAGCUAUCUGGGCUUGUCAGCAAGACAUUUUCUCAAGAUAAUAUGUCAUUUAAAGUCCACAUUAGCUACUAAUGGUGCAAUUAAUCUCACCUAAAUUCUUCUAAAAUUAGUUGUCUAAGUUACCUAGGAUCCCCUGAAUCGAGAAAGAAAGAUAAGAUCCUGCAUAGACCUAACUGAUUCCAUCUAUCCUGAUAUAACUUGAAGAUAAUCAGAUAAAUUUAAAUAUGUACCUGUAACAUAUUUCUAUAAAUACAUAAAUAUUGAUAAUACUAGGUAAAAAAAAACAUUACAUAGAUACAUAUCUUGCAACACUUUCUGUGAAGAGAAUUCUGAGGAAUCCUAAAACAAGUGUGAGGGUGAGACCAAACAAACACCAGUCAUGCUUUUAAGGACUAUUGUCUUGAUGUCUGCUAAAGAAAACCAGGCAUGUUCCAUGAGAUCCAGACAAGGGGUCACAUAACUUACAGUGUGUACAAAAUCAAACAUGUACAGACAUCUUCCAGCCCAGAAGGCCAACUGUGUCCUGGGUUGUAUCAAAAGAAACAUGACCAGCAGGUCAAAGAAGGUAAUUCUGCUUUUGUGAGACCCCACCUGAAGUACUGCAUCCAGUUCAGGGGUCCCCAACACAAGAAGGACGUGGAGCUGUUGGAGCAGGUCCAGAGGAAGGCCACGAAGAUGAUCAGAGAGGGCUGGAGCACCUCCCCUACGACGACAGGCUGAGCGUGCUGGGGCUCUUCAGCCUGGAGAAAAGAAGACUCUAGGGGCACCUUGUAUGGAAGUGGCCUUCCAGUACCUGAAGAGGACCUACAGGAAAGCUGGGUAGAGAUUUUUCAUAACGGCAUGUAGUGAUAGGGUAAGGGGAAAUGGUUUUUAAAAGAGCGGGGGUAGAUUUAGACAAGAUAUUAGGAAGAAAUUAUUUACGGUGAGGGUGCUGAGACACUGGAACAGGUUGCCCAGAAAGGAAGGUGGAUGCCCCUUUCCUGGAAGCAUUCAAUGCCAGGCUGGAUGGGACUUUGAGCCACCUGGUCUGUGGGAGGUGUCCCUGCCUAUAGCAGAGGAUAGUUGGAACUAGAUGAUCUUACCCAAAUGAUUCUAUGAUUCUGUGAAUUAUAGAAGCUGUUCCUGACUUCAUGGUGGGAGCCUUCUUUAGUAGCUGUGUGUGAUCACCUGCUUCAAAACUAAGCACGCAGAAGUGAGCUCAGUGGUGAUCUGCUGAUCUGCACUGCAACUGCAAGAGUUGUUUAUUAUGGUGUGCAGACCUGAUUCUUUCCUGAGGUCCGAUUGUAAUUUAGAUGCUGCAGAUGGUAAAUAAUAUGGACAGUGUAGCCAGUUAUGUUUUUCCUGAAAAUCUGAUGGAAAUUUGUCACAUACUGACUGCAGGUCAUGUUCAGAUAUCCAAAAAAGGAAUGCAAUGAGAGAUUACUGAAAAUGAAGUGAGGCAAUAACCUGUCCAGAAAUGGAAAGAGAGCAGUAGAAACAACAAUUCAAAAGGAUCAUAAUCAUUGUUUAUCCAACUCUAAGAAAGGAAUAAUUCCUUGCCAGUUAGAACCAUGAUUCAAUUAGGUUCUAAUCUACAGACAGAGAAUGCCUUCUGUGGCCAGUUAGGAAACAUAGACCAAGUUCUUGAAGGCAUGGAUAUUGACAUGAAGUUAGGGAAUCAAAAAAACAUGAGCAAUUUAGAGUGUUUGGGAAACAAAAUGAAAACAGAGUCCAAGCCCGUGAGUACUUGCAAAAUUUAUAAUAAGAAGCAGAAGGAUAUAAAUUGUGGGAAUGUGAUGCAAUCACAGAAGGGUUAUGGAUAACAGCUGUGUUAUGAGAUUUCCGGGAAAAGGAAACUAGUAUGGAAAGGAGCUGACACUUCCCAGAAGAAGGAGUGACCUAAACCAAAAAUUAAGUGAGGCACAGGCUGUUGUUCAGAUUAUACUAUAAAAUAAAAGGAAACAUCAUAAAGAUUGCAUCCAAAAAAAUCAACUGAAAAAUAAGUUAUCAGUAAAACUGGACAUGGCACAAAUCAGUUAAAGUGGAAUUAGAUGCCACUCAGCUUAGAGCUAUAGCAAAGGAAAAAGAGGCCUCAGCAGGAAAGCUUGUGAAGUUGCAAUAAUUAACUGUAUGUACAUUGUCUCUUGAGUCCAAACUAAAUUAAAUUUUUAUGAUACUUUUGUUGAAUUUAGUAGUCUGGUUAGACCAAUGAUUUUCACUUUUAAGCACGUCAGAGUAUAUCCACAAGUGCUUUGGUUAGAAAUAGUCUAAACAAAAAAGGAUCUGUGUGAUAUAAUCACAGUGAUGUUGACGUGAAUCUUCAUUCUUCAACUCCUAAAACAAUACCUUGUAUUUUGUUAAUUAGGAUGAAUUUUUUCAGAAUCUCAGCUAUGAUAAACAAGUAUUUAGUCCCAUUUGUGUUGGCCUGUAUUGCAUAUGUUGCUCGACUGGCUCUACUAACGAUGAUGCUAAAUCCAUCCAGUUUACACAAAUCCAUGUGUUUCUUGUGUAAACUUCUGAAACUUUGUCUCCUAUUUCCCACUACUGUUCCUGUUUGUGACUAUUAUCUGUUUAUUUAUUCAUUCACAAUCACUCUCUAACUGUUCACCUACACUUCCAGCAAAGUUAUUCUGCAGCGUCUCUAACCAGUGAUCAGUUAAAAGCUCAUGGUUGCCUUCAGCUAUCAACUGCUUACAGCUGCCUUUGUUGUGUCGUUCUGUUGUUUGUUUUUUUUUUCCAGUUCUCUUCAAGGCAAAGUCUCAAGAAACAUAACAGUGGACCACAGUGGUUGCUCUUACAGUAUGUGAGUAUGGUAGACAGCUUCUCAUCCCAUUUCUUAUUGCUGGCUUUUAUUAAUUUUCAGAGAGCUCUGUUGGUCAUUCUGCUGGUACAUUCCAUUUGUCCAGAACUUUGGCGUGCAUGACACAUUAUAUAAUUGCAUUGCAGUUAACUGUGUGAUGGCUCUUUUCAUGAGAACAGCUUUCAUCCGCUUUGUAAGUGGGCCAAAAGUAAUUAAAUGGUAUUAGUUCCCCCAAGCGGUGAUCCAAAUGGGUCCUGUGUAAUCAGCCUGCACCCUGCCUCCCCAAAAAAUACCUUUACUGCAGCUGGAUUUGUCUUGGAUUUAUUAGAGCAUUUACAAUAGCUGAUGCUAGUCAGGCAUGCAGCUAUUUUCUGUACCUUGGCAACCAUCACACCAUAAUAACUCCAUCUAACAUUAGAGGAUAAGCUUAUUCAUGUACAGAUCAAGUCAGUGUACCAGAGCUCAUCCUCACAGACCAUCUUCUUCUGCUCGUAUUACUUCCUUUUAUUAGAAAAAUACCAACUCCUGUUUUAGAAGAGAGUCUAAGAACCCAUAAGUCCAGCUUUCCAAAGACAUUGUGGAAAGUCAAGUCAUUCAAAUUUGGAGUGGAAAGAUACAUAUGUUUCAAAUUAACUCAAGUAACAAUUCCAUUAAAUUUCUUAAUUAUUCAACUGGAAUAUAUGCUGAGCAAAACCUGUUCAAGCAAUGGACUGAGAAAUAUUUGAAAGUGAAAGGGAGAGGUAGCAUUUUAAGUACUUUGUUAGGAAAUUUAAGUGAAGUGAACGGAACACUGAAUACUGUAGACCUUGAAUACUUUGGGAAUGAAUUAUCACUGAUGGGCAAUGAUGUGAUUAAAGCAUUUCUAUAGAGAAAUGAAAGGCUACAGAUUUCGGUACACAGCCAAGGAGAAUUAUUGCUCCUUGGAAAAGCUGUGUUUUCAUUAGCUUCAAGUGCUAUACUAAUUGCAGAUGAAUGUUGUUGCAAUAUUAUUACAUCCAUGCACUUUGCUGAUAUUAAAAUACAUUAUUUCAGGGAAUAAUAGAAGCAAAAAUAAACUAAUGCAGUACUGAAAAGUCCACCACCCUAAACUGUUAUUAGAAGAUGGAAAAUCAUCAAGUGUAUCUUUACAACAUAGUAGUCUAUGUGGAGCUGUAUUGCAGAUAUAUGUUAAGGACCACACAUAUACAACGACCUUUGGAAUGGCAAAAUUCAUACUUCGUCAAAAACAGGUGUUCCUCAGGAAGGAGCUGGGUGGGUAGUUUCAGAAAGGUAUUGUGAUGGCAUUUUUGCUGUACAGAAAUGGAAACACUCAUUAUAAAGAGUUAUUCUGGUCCAAAAGUCAACUGGUAUAGAUCUUAAAAAAGAUGUACUGCAGUAUCUUCAGAGUAAGACAGCAUUGUAAAGUUGAAAUUCACAUUCUACAGUAAGUUUUCUGUUCAGUACUUAUGUUUCAAGUGUACAAGCAAACAUCAUUCUGGAAUCAUAAUAAGUGAAAAUUACACAUAAACCUUCCAAGUAGAUGACAACUACUACUGUAACAGAAACAAUGGGAGCAGAAUGGAAAAAAAUGUAAAAGAAAGCUUUUUCUUAUGAAUUUGUAGUGAAGCAAUCAGUGAUAGUCUCAGCAAAUCAAGAAGAAAAUUGAAAAUCAUUAGCAAGAAAUUACAGUAUGGGCAUCAGAGGUGAAGAGACAGUAAUUCUUGGUGGGACAGGCAAUUCUGUUAAGUGUAUCAUUUCAUUCAUUACUGAGCCACUAGCAACGCUGUUGUAUACAUGCUAGUAAUUUGUUACAUUUAUUAUCUUAAGAUUACUUUCAACAAGGUACAGAAAAGUCAAUACUUUAUGAUGUAAAUAUAGAAUGCUUCUUGAACAGGACAGUGAUUAUAGGAAGCCUAGAGAGUGAACAGGUUCAACUGCACUCUUACAGUGAUUGUGAUUUGAACAGGUCACCAUGAAGGAGAGAAUUAUUGCAGCCUGAAGAGAAGCUAAUAAAUCUGAGCACGUACCAGUAACAUUUCUAAAAUAUACAGAUAUUAAUGAUACACGGGUGACAAGUACUAUAUCUAUGUAAAAACACUUUCCUGAGAACAGUGCUGCAUACAGAGAAUUUUCAGGAAUUCCUUUCUUCAUUUACCACUGAAUGAAAAAUGUCAAGCAAAACUUACCUGACUUCUUACUUGACUAUGGAAUCAAUCUAUUAAUAGGUUCACUUCACAAAUAUGGGGAUUUUUUUUUUCCUAGCCCAGCAUAUCAUGUCACGCAAGUUUUCUCAAAUUUAGAAAUACAUCUGCUAUUUAACAAAUGCACAUAAACUAAAUAACAUAUAAUGCUGAAUGGCACUGUCCAUAGUUGGUUCAUCAUAAACGUACUAACACUUCCAGUCCCAAGGUAACCAUAAACUCCAAGCCCAGAGAUAACUCACUUUAUUGUAACUGCCCCAUUGGAGUUCAAAAUAGACCUGUGAUGAAGGAAUUAACUUGUCCUGACUUUAUUGGAUCAGACACUGGAUUUCACUGCAAUCCUAGUUAAGAUUAGCUACUGCCUGUAAACAGACUGCAGGUCAGGGACCAGCUUGCUCUCUCAUCUCAGCAAAGUGAAGCUCCCUCAAAGGAGCUGCCUGAAAUGUAUCACAGCUGCUGUGAGAGGUUGCUGAGCUGCCAGAAACCUCACUCAAAGGAACAAAGGCCUGGAUGAGAAAUUGCUGCCCAGAAUAAUAUUAGGGUAAGAAUAGUAAUGCUUCACGCUUCUGAAUGGCCUUCACCUUUGGGUCUGAAGUUAAUAGGAAAGAGAAAGAAAAGCCUUUUGAGGCAUAUCAUUCCAUCUGAUGCUGUUCCUUUGAGUUUAGUGGGAGGAGUGUAAAAUGUUGGCAACUCAGAGAUCAAAGACCUACAAGCAUAAACUGUGAAAAGCAGGGCCGAAGUGCAGCAAGUCAGACAUACUGAAGAUAGACACAGAAAUGACUUGCUAAAUUAUUUAACAGUAUGAGUAAUGUUUUGUCUUCAUGCUGCCGCUUUUUAUGGCAUCUAAAUCAAUUUGUUUCCCUAAAUAGAUUCUGGUGCUUUUCUGCAGUAACUGGAGAUUACUUCCACCUCUUUAGCUCUAUCAGUAAAAAAUGAAAUUAGCUUUAUCACUUCACUGUAAUUUUUUAGCAAAUUACAUAAUUAAGAAACAAUAUCUUGGUUGAAAAUAUGAAAUGGCAAAAGCUAUGUUCAUGACUAUGAGGCAGUGCAGAAUCACCUAGAAUUCUGUACCUUUAAAAUAGCCUGGGUUAUUCCUUUUUCCCCUAUAGUCUUAUAUAGGGUUUUUAUUAUCCACAGAAUAAUGAAAUAACUGAGUAGAGUCAGCUGUAACUUGCUUCACUGAAAACCGGUGUCCACAACAACUGUGUUUUCCCAGCACACUUAGGAGUGUGUUUUUACACCAUAAGAUGCACUGUUUGUAUAUAUAAGAUUGGACUUCUUUCUUCUUCCUACAGAGGUCUCUAGGACCCUUAUGGACAUCAGUACCACUGAGAACUCUGACAGAAGAGCUGCAGUCUGCCAAAGCACUUGACAGUAAUCUCUGCCUAAGAGCCAUCUCUUCUUCCAGAGUCUGUCCCCCUCAGAGAAGAGCUGGCAGAGUGAGUCGCUUCAAGAUUUAGUUCUGAUGUCUUCAAUGAAUAUGAGAAAUACCCUGGGACUGUCUGAAGGAAUUAGACAGCAAACUUAGCACAGAAGUCUAGGUCUAACACCACUGAGGAAUCAAGCCAUUAUGUGUCAAACCUGGAGGAUGGCAAGCUCGACUCACACAUCUCAGGAAAUCAAUGAAUUGUAAUGGUGACAGGUCUGCCGUGCGUUACAACAUGCUGCAGCCAGGACCCACUGGGUAGGCGCCUGCAAAGAAUAUUUCACCCUUCUGUUCUUCACAUUCACUGCUGAAAGUCCUUUUCUGAUUGACUAUUUUACUUCCCUGGCUUGGGUGGGUGUUGAGUUGGGUGGGGGGAAAAUGGAAUGAAAUGCACCAAGGGCAAGCUAGAGGCUUGUGUC